UUUCAUAGAAUCAUACCAUUUAAUAUGAAUGUGUCAGAUUUCAUUGUACACUUCAAAUGUUUUUAUUUUAUAUAAACACUUCUAUUGAAAAGCCAUUUUAGACCCCCACCCUUAACCCCAAGCCAUGAGAUACAAACUGAAUCUUUUAAUGCGCCAAAGAUUCUGCAGUUUCACACAGGAAAAAAAAAGUUUUGUCAAAAUGGUAUGCCAGAGAGGACUAUUUUUAUCCAUUCCCCCUGGUUGUGGUUUUUGAUUUAAGGAGUAUAAGUACACUUGAUGUCUCCACCAGUGGAGGGAUGCUGGAAAGGAAGGAGAAGGAUCUAUAUUUGUAUUUAGAAGAGAAACAGCAGCAUACAAAGGGGCAGUGCCUACGAGACACAAAUGCUGGUAAAAGGGCUUCUUCUCCCUGUUCUCUAUUAUAAAGUGGGAAACUUUCACACUGGAGCAGAUCUGGAUUCCAAUCAUACUCAAACCUCUCUCUUCAUCUGUGAAGAGCAACAUAGCCUUGGCUGGUUAUCUCAAUAUAACACUUCACAAAAGUUUUUAUGUAGCACUGAAACAUGCAAAAGGCACUUUAUCAUUAAGGAGGAAGACAGAGUCAUCAGCCCAGGGAGCUUGUAGUUUGACUCAUUCCUGUGGCUAGUGUAGUGAUGAACUAGGCUUAGGCUACAGCUUCAAUAUAAGCUGCAGAACUAGUCCUUGGCUCGAGGUAGGAGGAUUGGUGUCUCUCAAAUAUUCCUAAUAUAUAGGAACAUCAGGGCAACCUCAGUGAAUUCCGAGCAGAGGUUUAUCCACAAGAGUAUUUCAUCUGGGGCAGCCACGUAACAAAACCAGAGCCAGCACUUGCUGGUGAUGUGCUGAGGCCUCUACCAUCACCUGUGCAACACAGCAUCACAGGUACCAAAGCAGAGCAAUCCCUCUUCCUGAGAGACAGCUGAAAGCUUUUCUAAGGCUGCUCACAGAGCAAGCAUGGUCCAGCUUCUGCAUUUCAUGUCACAGCUUGCCUGUCAGAGGAGAGACAGACACAUCCAGGCUGCCACCCUCAUGUUCUCAGGGAUAGCCUGGACCUGUUCUCAGCUGUGUGCUUUUUCUUUUCCAAGCGUACAUGUUGGGGUAGGGGAGAAACAGUGGGUUUUCCC
rnacentral:lncRNA from 1 species